rnacentral:sRNA from 1 species
CAGUAAAGAGAGGGCACACCAGUCUCAGCUAGAUGAGUACUGGCCAUAGGAACAGUGGGCAAAGCAGAUCUGCUCCACUCCGCACACAUGGCACAGGUCCCGCCCUCAGCUUCCUCCUGCCCUGGCUCUUGCCCUUGCUCUGCCCUGGCCUAUGCCGCUGGAAUUAGAUGAAUCUUUAUCUUCUGAUCCUGAGGUUUUGCUUCAAAUUGAUGGUGUUACUGAAGACAAACUGGAAAAAUAUGGUGCGGAAGUGAUUUCAGUAUUACAGAAAUACUCUGAAUGGACAUCGCCAGCUGAAGACAGUUCCCCAGGGAUAAGCCUGUCCAGCAGCAGAGGCCCCGGAAGAAGUGCCACUGAGGAGCUCGACGAGGAAAUACCCGUAUCUUCCCACUACUUUGCAAGUAAAACCAGAAAUGAAAGGAAGAGGAAAAAGAUGCCAGCCUCCCAAAGGUCUAAGAGGAGAAAAACUGCUUCCAGUGGUUCCAAGGCAAAGGGGGGGUCUGCCACAUGUAGAAAGAUAUCUUCCAAAAUGAAAUCCUCCAGCAUCAUUGGAUCCAGUUCAGCCUCACAUACUUCUCAAGCGACAUCAGGAGCCAAUAGCAAAUUAGGGAUUAUGGCUCCACCAAAGCCUAUAAAUAGACCGUUUCUUAAGCCUUCGUAUGCAUUCUCAUAACAACCGAAUCUCAAUGUACAUAGACCCUCUUUCUUGUUUGUCAGCAUCUGACCAUCUGUGACUAUAAAGCUGUUAUUCUUGUUAUACCAUUUGAAAUUUUUACUCGUCUCUAUUAAUAUUUAAAUAAAUGCUGGGGGGUGAUAGUUCUUCUUUUUAAAAUAAACAUUUUCUUUGGAAUAAGCAUGUUUUGCUGCCGCUGCAAGCAUUGUGGCCGUUAUUUCUCAGAACGUCUGAGGCAGCAGCUGAAUCAUCUCAGUGCAAGAGAUUCUGAGCAUAACACGAAACCCAGAAGCCAAAGGAAGAGCCACGCGUGGGCCCUUGUGAAACUAAAGCUUUUCGUGUAAGACAAC